CCCAGACUCCUACGGGAGGCAGCAGUGGGGAAUAUUGCACAAUGGGGGGAACCCUGAUGCAGCGACGCCGCGUGGGUGAAGGAGUACUUCGGUACGUAAAGCCCUAUCAGCAGGAAAGAAAAUGACGGUACCUGACUAAGAAGCCCCGGCUAACUACGUGCCAGCAGCCGCGGUAAUACGUAGGGGGCAAGCGUUAUCCGGAUUUACUGGGUGUAAAGGGAGCGUAGACGGCAGUGCAAGUCCGGAGUGAAAGCCCGGGGCUCAACCCUGGGACUGCUCUGGAAACUGUAAAGCUGGAGUGCGGGAGGGGCAGGCGGAAUUCCUGGUGUAGCGGUGAAAUGCGUAGAUAUCAGGAGGAACACCGGCGGCGAAGGCGGCCUGCUGGACCGUAACUGACGUUGAGGCUCGAAAGCGUGGGGAGCAAACAGGAUUAGAUACCCGUGUA
rnacentral:rRNA from 1 species